UACGGAGGGUGCAAGCGUUAUCCGGAUUCACUGGGUUUAAAGGGUGCGUAGGCGGCGCGGUAAGUCGGGGGUGAAAUCUCGGAGCUUAACUCCGAAACUGCAUUCGAUACUGCCGUGCUUGAGGACUGGAGAGGAGACUGGAAUUCUCGGUGUAGCGGUGAAAUGCGUAGAUAUCGAGAGGAACACCUGCGGCGAAGGCGGGUUGCUGGGCUGACACUGACGCUGAAGCGCGAAAGCCAGGGGAGCGAACGGG
rnacentral:rRNA from 1 species